UCUUCAUUUCACGCCCUCUUUCACCGGUCAGAAAGGAGAGAUAGAGCGUGAAAUGAAGAGA
rnacentral:pre_miRNA from 1 species